UACGUAGGGUGCAGCGUUGUCCGGAAUUAUUGGGCGUAAAGAGCUUGUAGGCGGUUUGUCGCGUCUGCUGUGAAAAUCCAGGGCUUAACCCUGGACCUGCAGUGGGGUACGGGCAGACUAGAGUGCGGUAGGGGAGAUCGGAAUUCCUGGUGUAGCGGUGAAAUGCGCAGAUAUCAGGAGGAACACCGGUGGCGAAGGCGGAUCUCUGGGCCGUAACUGACGCUGAGACGCGAAAGCGUGGGGAGCAAACAGG
rnacentral:rRNA from 1 species